CUUCUACCUCAGUUACACAAGUAUAACCUUUUACCUCAGUUACACAAGUAUAACCUUCUACCUCAGUUACACAAGUAUAACCUUCUACCUCAGUUACACAAGUAUAAUAUUCUACCUCAGUUACACAAGUAUAAUAUUCUACCUCAGUUACACAAGUAUAACCUUCUACCUCAGUUACAUGUAAGUAUAACCUUCUACCUCAGUUGCAUGUAAGUAUAACCUUCUACCCUAGUUACACAAGUAUAACCUUCUACCUCAGUUACAUGUAAGUAUAACCUUCUACCUCAGUUACACAAGUAUAACCUUUUACCUCAGUUACACAAGUAUAACCUUCUACCUCAGUUACACAAGUAUAACCUUCUACCUCAGUUACAUGUAAGUAUAACCUUCUACAUCAGUUACAUGUAAGUAUAACCUUCUACCUCAGUUACACAAGUAUAACCUUCUACCUCAGUUACACAAGUAUAACCUUCUACCUCAGUUACACAAGUAUAACCUUCUACCUCAGUUACACAAGUAUAACCUUCUACCUCAGUUACACAAGUAUAACCUUCUACCUCAGUUACACAAGUAUAACCUUCUACCUCAGUUAGAUGUAAGUAACCUUCUACCUCAGUUAGAUGUAAGUAACCUUCUACCUCAGUUACAUGUAAGUAUAACCUUCUACCUCAGUUACACAAGUAUAACCUUCUAUCUCAGUUACACAAGUAUAACCUAUCUCAGUUACACAAGUAUAACCUUCUACCUCAGUUACACAAGUAUAACCUUCUACCUCAGUUACAUGUAAGUAUAACCUUCUACCUCAGUUACAUGUAAGUAUAACCUUCUACCUCAGUUACACAAGUAUAACCUUCUACCUCAGUUACAUGUAAGUAUAACCUUCUACCUCAGUUACACAAGUAUAACCUUCUACCUCAGUUACACAAGUAUAACCUUCUACCUCAGUUACACAAGUAUAACCUUCUACCUCAGUUACACAAGUAUAACCUUCUACCUCAGUUACACAAGUAUAACCUUCUACCUCAGUUACAUGUAAGUAUAACCUUCUACCUCAGUUACAUGUAAGUAUAACCUUCUACCUCAGUUACACAAGUAUAACCUUCUACCUCAGUUACAUGUAAGUAUAACCUUCUACCUCAGUUACAUGUAAGUAUAACCUUCUACCUCAGUUACAUGUAAGUAUAACCUUCUACCUCAGUUACAUGUAAGUAUAACCUUCUACCUCAGUUACAUGUAAGUAUAACCUUCUACCUCAGUUACAUGUAAGUUUAACCUUCUACCUCAGUUACAUGUAAGUAUAACCUUCUACCUCAGUUACAUGUAAGUAUAACCUUCUACCUCAGUUACAUGUAAGUAUAACCUUCUACCUCAGUUACAUGUAAGUAUAACAUUCUACCUCAGUUACAUGUAAGUAUAACAUUCUACCUCAGUUACAUGUAAGUAUAACAUUCUACCUCAGUUACAUGUAAGUAUAACAUUCUACCUCAGUUACAUGUAAGUAUAACCUUCUACCUCAGUUACAUGUAAGUAUAACCUUCUAUCUCAGUUACAAGAGCUGAUGAUAAUCUCAUCUGAGAUGUGACAAUAUUGGUGAUGGAUAUACCGGGUUAUGAGAUGUGGGUGGGGUUCCACCUCCAUCCAUAUACUGACGCAAACCUGGGAUCAAAAUCGCUUGUCUUUUUCUUUCAACUAAUCUCUGUAUCUGUAUGUAAUGUACCUGACAGGAAACAAAUACUAUUUGAACCCAGGUCUGUUACACUACAGAGCUGUGGCUCUUAUCUCAUCCACAGCAGGUUUACCAUAUAGGUGGGAAUUGAGUGCUAUUUGGGAUGCAGGCUAUGCUUCUCUGUGCCCUUUCCAUUGCCCCAGGGCGCCACACAGAGAGAAGCUCAUCCUCCAACCGCUAAUGGAACAUGUGACCUUUGACUUUUACACUGUCAGCUGCACUGAGCAAGAGGGUCUGGGCUGGUGAGGAGCCAGGAAGAGGUGGACUAGAGAAUUAGAACCAGAUUCAGAGAGACCAGGAAGUAACAUGAAUUCUGUGUAUCUAUGGAUUUUAAAUGAGGAGGUGUACUGGAGAGCAGGAACCAGAGAGGUGCCAGGGAGAAACAGGCACUGAGCAAGAGGACCUGGUUAGGAGGAGGAGGUGAACUGAGGAAGUGAGACCAGAGAGACCAGGAAGGAACAGUUAUACUGCUGUUCCUGUCUUCCAGUGAGGGAAGAGGUUGCCAUUUGGGAAGCAGACCCGGACAGCAGGCACUUUCAGACUUUCCUUAUUCUGGAUCCAAAAAGAAAGGUGAUAUGUUUUCCCUCAUGGGCUCUGCAGAAACACCUGGUUGGGCCUGAAGCAUCAAGCGCUGCAGGAGAGGGGAUGCGUGAUUGAAUAGUUUGUCUGGGUUUGUAAGGGUUUGUGUGGCAAUGUAGGGUUCGUAACCUACAGUAUUUGAUAUUUGGCAGUGAGAUAGAUAUAAGAAGACGAUUCCACAGUUUAGUCAGGGUCUAGUUCUUAAGAAACACCCAUUUUUAGUUUUUCAACACAAAAUCUUUUCUAACUUUUUUUUUCAGUUGCAUGCCCUAAUUAAAAUGACUGUCUUUACUCCAUUCCAUAUGGAGAGGUGUCCUGUGUGGUGAACAUGUCAUUAACCAUGCUUCUCCAGAAGGGGGCACUGUGCCAUUUGAAAUGUAAUGGGUGAAACGGAUAGCGAGCUAGGUUUAUUAGAGGGCACGAAGAAGAUGGAUUUAGAAUGUAUUGCAGUCAUCUUAGCUCACUGAAAGAAACACUUAGCAAAGAGGUAGAAUAUCUAUAUUCAUCCAUAGUUGUAGUAAAAACAAUUACUUCAUUGGUUAAUACAGUGUAGGGGUGGCAGGGUAGCCUAGUGGUUAGAGUGUUGGAC